rnacentral:tRNA from 1 species
AAGAUUUUAAGUUAAUUUAAAAACUAUUAAUCUUCAAAAUUAAAAAUAUAUAAUAAUAAUUUAUAAAUCUUA